ensembl:rRNA 5S_rRNA 5S ribosomal RNA
GUCUGUGGCCACGCCACCCCGAACAAGCCCGAUCCCGUCUGAUCUCGGAAGCUAAGCAGGGUCGGGCCUGGUUAGUACUUGGAUGGGAGACCACCUACGAAGAUUACGUGCUGUCGGCA